CCUAGAAUAUUAUGGAAGGUCUCUCUCCCCAGGCUCUGUCCGGGUGACAUAGAGGAGCAUAGGGCUCUGACCUAUGAUGUACAGUUUCUUUCGACAACAUUGGAGAUGAAGCUGGGCCUUUGAGUCUGUGCUUCCAUAUUCCUAUGAAUUUUGUGGACAAUGACUGAAAAGACAAACCAUACCAGAAAAAUUU
rnacentral:snoRNA from 1 species